rnacentral:tRNA from 1 species
AGCUUAAUAGUUUAAUUAAAAAUUUUUAUUUGUGGUGUAAGAGAUUUUUAGGCUU